GGGGUUGUGGCUCAGAGGUAGAGUGCUUGCCUAGCAUGCAUGAGGCACUGAGUUCAAUACUCAGCACCA
rnacentral:tRNA from 1 species